rfam:Anolis carolinensis chromosome 4, whole genome shotgun sequence.
UUUUGGGUUUCUAAUAUUAUAGAGGCAUCCAAUCUCAUCUGAUCUUGGAAUUUAAGUGGGUGAGUCCUGGUUAGUACUUGGACGGAAGAUCAUAAUGGAAUACUAGGCACGGUAGGC